rnacentral:tRNA from 1 species
GCUCUGGUAGUGUAGUUGGUUAUCACCCGGGACUGUCACUCCCGGAACUCGGGUUCAAAUCCCGACCAGGGCG